rnacentral:rRNA from 1 species
GUCGAGAAUUUUUCACAAUGGGGGAAACCCUGAUGGAGCGACGCCGCGUGGAGGAUGAUGGCCCUCGGGUUGUAAACUCCUGUCAUGCGGGAACAAGAAAGUGAUAGUACCGCAAGAGGAAGAGACGGCUAACUCUGUGCCAGCAGCCGCGGUAAUACAGAGGUCUCAAGCGUUGUUCGGAUUCAUUGGGCGUAAAGGGUGCGUAGGUGGCGAUGCAAGUCUGGUGUGAAAUCUCGGAGCUCAACUCCGAAAUUGCACCGGAUACUGCGUUGCUAGAGGAUUGUAGAGGAGAGUGGAAUUCACGGUGUAGCAGUGAAAUGCGUAGAUAUCGUGAGGAAGACCAGUUGCGAAGGCGACUCUCUGGGCAAUUACUGACGCUGAGAGACGAAGGCCAGGGGAGCGAAAAGGAUUAGAUACCCCUGUAGUCC